rnacentral:ncRNA from 1 species
GGAGAGGGGCAGUCCGCGAUCGCCCCGUGAGGCUCCGGCCCAAGCGUCGCGUCCGCGCUUUUUGCGAAUGGACGUCCAUG